UCCACACUGUGGAAGCUUUGUUCUUUUGCUGUUUGCAAUAAAUCUUGCUACUGCUCACUCUUUGGGUCCACGCUGCUUUUAUGAGCUGUAACACUCACCGUGAAGGUCUGCAGCUUCACUCCUGAAGCCAGCGAGCCCACGAGCCCACCGGGAGGAACGAACAACUCCAGACGUGCCGCCUUAAGAGCUGUAACACUCACCGCCAAGGUCUGCAGCUUCACUCCUGAGCCAACGAGACCACGAACCCACCAGAAGGAAGAAACUCCGAACACAUCAGAAGGAACAAACUCCAGACGCGCCACCUUAAGAGCUGUAACACUCACCGCGAGGGUCCCCGGCUUCAUUCUUGAAGUCAGUGAGACCAAGAACCCACCAAUUCCACACACAUUUUGGCGACCCAGAUGGGACUUUCGCCUAUCGCCAAGCAGUGAGACAAUCGCCGAGCGAAUCGAGGCCAUCAAGCUACAGAUGGUCUUACAAACAGAACCCCAAAUGAGUUCAACUAACAACUUCUACCGAGGACCCCUGGACCGACCUGCUGGCACUUCCCCUGGCCUAGAGAGUUCCCCUCCGAAGGACACUACAACUGCAGGGCCCCUUCUUCACCCCUAUCCAGCAGGAAGUAGCUAGAGCAGUCAUCAGCCAAAUUCCCAACAGCAGUCGGGGUGUCCUCUUUAGAGGGGGGGCUUGAGAGGUGACAGUGUGCUGUCAGUCCUCACAGCCCUCGCUCACUCUCAGCACCUCCUCUGCCUGGGCUCCCACUUUGGUGGCACGUGAGGAGCCCUUCAGCCCACCACUGCACUGUAGGAGCCCCUUUCUGGGCUGGCCAAGGCCAGAGCUGACUCCCUCAGCUUGCAGGGAGGUGUGGAGGGAGAGGCGUGAGUGGGAACUGGGGCUGCCCACAGCGCUUGCAGGCCAGCUGGAGUUCCAGGUGGGCAUGGGCUUGGCAGGCCCCACACUUGGAGCAGCGCCGGCCCCGGGCAAUGAUGGGCUUAGCACCCGGGCCAGAAACUGUGGAGGCUGUACUAGGUCCCCCAGCAGUGCCAGCCCACUGGCGCUGCACUCAAUUUCUCACUGGGCCUUAGCUGCCUUCCUGUGGGGCAGGGCUCAGAACCUGCAACCCACCAUGCCUGAGCCUCCCACCCCCUGCGUGGGCUCCUGUGCAGCCCGAGCCUCCUCAACGAGCACCACCCCCUGCUCCACGGCACCCAGUCCCAUUGACCACCCAAGGGCUGAGGAGUGCAGAUGCAUGGAGCGGGACUCGCAGGCAGCUCUACCUGCAGCCCCGGUGCGGGAUCCACUGGGUGAAGCCAGCUGGGCUCCUGAGUCUGGUGGGGCCUUGGAGAACCUUUAUGUCUAGCUCAGGGAUUGUAAAUACACCAAUUGGCACUCUGUAUCUAGCUCAAGGUUUGUAAACACACCAAUCAGCACCCUGUGUCUAGCUCAGGUUUUGUGAGUGCACCAAUCGAUACUCUGUAUCUAACUGCUCUGGUGGGGCCUUGGAGAACCUUUGUGUCGAUACUCUGUAUCUAACUAAUCUGAUGGGGACCUGGAGAACCUUUGUAUCUAGCUCAGGGAUUAUAAACGCACCAAUCAGCACCCUGUCAAAACAGACCACUCAGCUCUACCAAUCAGCAGGACGUGGGUGGGGCCAAAUAAGAGAAUAAAAGCAGGGUGCCUGAGCCAGCAGUGGCAACCUGCUCAGGUCCCCUUCCACACAGUGGAAGCUUUGUUCUUAUGCUGUUUGCAAUAAAUCUUGCUCUGCUCA
rnacentral:lncRNA from 1 species